rnacentral:rRNA from 1 species
GCUAAAAACCUAGCUCUAUUUACACUAAUGAAAUUCCCCCCCCCCACUUACACCUUAAAACUAAAACAUUUAAAUAAUUUAGUAGAGGAGAUUGAAAAAUUUAUGGAAGCAAUAUAAUUAGUACCGUAAGGGAAAGAUGAAAUAUGAAUGAAAAAUCUUCAAGCAAAACAAAGUAGAGCUCUACCCUCGUACCUUUUGCAUCAUGGUUCAAUUAGUUCAACCAAGCAAAAAGCAUUAUAGUUUGACACCCCGAAACUAGGCGAGCUACUUCGAGGCAGCUUUAAGAGCCAACCCGUCUCUGUGACAAAAGAGUGGGAAGACCACUAAGUAGCGGCGAUAAACCAACCGAGCCUAGUGAUAGCUGGUUACUCAAGAAAAGGAUUUAAGUCCAACCUAAAGUCUUCGCCUUACAUCAAAAACAUGACUUUAGAGCAAUUCAAAUAAGGUACAGCCUAUUUGAAACAGGAUACAACCUCGUUUGACGGCUAAAAUUUGUUCUUUGACUUCAAGUUGGCCUAAAAGCAGCCACCUUUUAAAAAGCGUCAUAGCUUAGUCUUAAUAUAAUUUAAUUCCACACCCAUAUUUUAACCCUCUUUCAGUACUGAGUAAUUCUAUACUUUUAUAGAAUAUUUUAUGUUGAAACUAGUAACAAGAAGUCAGACCUUCUCUUAAAUGCAAGCAUAAAUCAGAAAGGACUAACCACUGAUAAUUAACGUCAAUGAUCACCAAUCAGCAACCUCCAAAGAAAAAUCUAAUUCCACCCACGUUAACCUGACACAAGAGCAUUUCAAGAAAGAUUAAAAGAAAGAGAAGGAACUCGGCAAAUAUUAACCCCGCCUGUUUACCAAAAACAUCGCCUCUUGAAUAAAAAUAAGAGGUCCAGCCUGCCCAGUGACUAUAGUUCAACGGCCGCGGUAUCCUAACCGUGCGAAGGUAGCGUAAUCACUUGUUCUUUAAAUGAGGACUAGUAUGAACGGCACCACGAGGGUUAUACUGUCUCCUCUUUCUAAUCAGUGAAACUAAUCUCCCCGUGAAGAAGCGGGGAUAAAACUAUAAGACGAGAAGACCCUAUGGAGCUUUAAAUUUCUCCUUAAACGCUUAAUCACUCAAAAGUUUAAAACUUCACCACAUGAAUCCUCGCGUUGUAAGGAUAACUUUUAGGUUGGGGUGACCACGGAGUAUAAAACAACCUCCAUGCUGAACAGGCCUCCAAGCCUUGAACCAAGGACCACAACCCGCCGCACUAGUACACUAACACCUAUUGAUCCAAUGCAUUUUGAUCAACGAACCAAGUUACCCUAGGGAUAACAGCGCAAUCUACUUCAAGAGUUCCUAUCGACAAGUGGGUUUACGACCUCGAUGUUGGAUCAGGGUAUCCCAGUGGUGCAGCCGCUACUAAUGGUUCGUUUGUUCAACGAUUAAAACCCU